rnacentral:rRNA from 1 species
UCGACCUCACAUCAGGCGAGA